UACGAAGGGGGCUAGCGUUGCUCGGAAUCACUGGGCGUAAAGGGUGCGUAGGCGGGUCUUUAAGUCAGGGGGGAAAUCCUGGAGCUCAACUCCAGAACUGCCUUUGAUACUGAGGAUCUUGAGUCCGGGAGAGGUGAGUGGAACUGCGAGUGUAGAGGUGAAAUUCGUAGAUAUUCGCAAGAACACCAGUGGCGAAGGCGGCUCACUGGCCCGGUACUGACGCUGAGGUGCGAAAGCCAGGGGAGCAAACGGG
rnacentral:rRNA from 1 species